rnacentral:SRP_RNA from 1 species
GCCGGGCGUGGUGUCGCGCGCCUGUAAUCCCAGCUACUCGGGAGGCUGAGGCAGGAGAAUCUCUUGGACCCAGGAGGCGGAGGUUGCAGUGAGCCGAGAUCGCGCCACUGUACUCCAGCCUGGGCUACAGAGCGAGACUCUGUCUCGA